GCCCUUGCCCAUUUGAGGGGGAUACCAGUUGGAAACGACUGUUAAUACCGCAUAAUGUCUGUGGAUUAAAGGUGGCUUUCGGGCUGUCGCAGAUGGAUGAGCCUGCGUUGGAUUAGCUAGUUGGUGGGGUAAGGGCCCACCAAGGCUACGGUCCAUAGCUGAUUUGAGAGGAUGAUCAGCCACAUUGGGACUGAGACACGGCCCAAACUCCUACGGGAGGCAGCAGUGGGGAAUAUUGGACAAUGGGGGCAACCCUGAUCCAGCAAUGCCAUGUGUGUGAAGAAGGCCCUAGGGUUGUAAAGCACUUUAGUUGGGGAGGAAAGCCUCAAGGUUAAUAGCCUUGGGGAGGACGUUACCCAAAGAAUAAGCACCGGCUAACUCCGUGCCAGCAGCCGCGGUAAUACGGGGGGUGCAAGCGUUAAUCGGAAUUACUGGGCGUAAAGGGUCUGUAGGUGGUUUGUUAAGUCAGAUGUGAAAGCCCAGGGCUCAACCUUGGAACUGCAUUUGAUACUGGCAAACUAGAGUACGGUAGAGGAAUGGGGAAUUUCUGGUGUAGCGGUGAAAUGCGUAGAGAUCAGAAGGAACACCAAUGGCGAAGGCAACAUUCUGGACCGAUACUGACACUGAGGGACGAAAGCGUGGGGAUCAAACAGGAUUAGAUACCCUGGUAGUCCACGCUGUAAACGAUGAGUACUAGCUGUUGGAGUCGGUGUAAAGGCUCUAGUGGCGCAGCUAACGCGAUAAGUACUCCGCCUGGGGACUACGGCCGCAAGGCUAAAACUCAAAGGAAUUGACGGGGACCCGCACAAGCGGUGGAGCAUGUGGUUUAAUUCGAUGCAACGCGAAGAACCUUACCUGGUCUUGACAUCCUGCGAACUUUCUAGAGAUAGAUUGGUGCCUUCGGGAACGCAGUGACAGGUGCUGCACGGCUGUCGUCAGCUCGUGUUGUGAAAUGUUGGGUUAAGUCCCGCAACGAGCGCAACCCCUAUUGAUAGUUACCAUCAUUAAGUUGGGUACUCUAUUGAGACUGCCGCUGACAAGGCGGAGGAAGGUGGGGACGACGUCAAGUCAUCAUGGCCCUUACGACCAGGGCUACACACGUGCUACAAUGGGUAUUACAGAGGGCUGCGAAGGUGCGAGCUGGAGCGAAACU
rnacentral:rRNA from 1 species